rnacentral:lncRNA from 1 species
GGAGUUCGAUUGAAGUCAGGCUCCGAGACACUUCUAGAAUGUCUUCCCAUUCUAUUGCCGUCGGCAGCCCAUUCACUUACGGGUUCCAUGGAAGCAGAUGGUACCAAUGUUGACAUUGCCAUUGUUGACUGACUAGCAGCCACUCUAGGUGCCAUCGAUUGCUGAUCUAGCAGCCACUCUAGGUGCCAUCGAUUGCUGAUCAUGCUCAUAACUAUGUACACCUUGUGAUGUUGAUGGCGCUGGUGGCGGUAGACCCCCAACAACACGAUGUGCAGUACUGUCGAAGAAAUUGAGCAAUUUACCCACCAACUUUGCCGGUGCCAAAUUUGCA